GGGGAGGGGGGCUGGCUGGUGGUGGGUGGAUGGGGGUCAGGAAUCGGGUAAAAAAAUAAAAUUUUAAAAUUAAAAAUAUUUUUUAAAAAUUAUUGUUUUUCCCAAAAAAAUGUAGUUUAAAAUUGAAGCAUCUUUUUAUCAUAUCAUAUGAUAAGAGAACAUGCCCACAUUCACCUUUUAUACUUUUCUGAAUUUAGGGAUUUAGUUCCAACUUUAGUUGAUCCAAUCAACUUUAUCACGAGAACAAGCAACGUAAAGAAUUCUUGAACAAUCUUCUACUUUUUCAAUGUAUGUUCAUUACUCAGUAUGCACAUCUUUGGAAUGACCAAAUUAUUCAUGCCAACUAAGAAAUUAUUAGUACUUGUAAACUCCAAGUUUAUUAUGUCAUUUGCCUUUUUGCUUUAGUAAAUUCUCAAUUUAUUACUAUUAUAUGAGAAAAGUUCAACAAUACUCUAAGAGUAUAUUUCAAAUUUUUUCUUCCUCAAUUACUCUAUCUCUUCUAAAGGUGAGUCAUGAUCUCAUCACUAAAUAAACUACUCUGAUUAUCAGAAAAUUAUGCAUGUAAUCGUAUUAUUCGUGCCAAUAUUUUUUUUUUACAAACAUCAAGUUGCGAGAUAAUAAUCGACACACAUGAGACCAUCAAGAAGAAACAUCUAUUAGGAACAUUAAGUAUCUAAUAAUCCACUAGGUGGAUGAAUAUGUCCACAAAUAUUUGUAUACGUUCCUACAAUGCAGAGGAUUCAACCUCAACUUUCGUAUAUGAUGGUCUCACAAUUAGCUGCUAACAAUCUUUACAAGAAAACUCACUAUUAAAAAGAAUUUUUAGGUUUUCAACGGAUGUCCAUUUUAGUUUCCAUAAUUCGUCUAAACAUUAUAGACUAAUGAUUUCUCAGACAAUCAUGUCAAAUUAAGAAAGUAUUGAAAUUAGAAAACUUCUUAUUUACCAUAGAAUGUGUCUCAAUUGCACUAAUUCUUGUCCAAUACAAGCCUGAAUAUAAAACAUGAAUAAACAGUUCUCAUUCUUCAUGAAUGAAACACAAAUAUGUGAGCAUAUCAAAUAAUGAUAGCUUUAGUACCUUAUUCCAUAUUUAUGUGCAUUAUUCAAUUACUUGUCUUCUUUCAGACAUAUUAUGCACUACAACCACAUUCACUUUAUGUAAUGGAGCAAAUUCAAUAAAUUUCAUGACUUCUCGUAAAAAACACAUUAGUUUUUCUUUAGUCAUCAUUAUAUUAUCAAUAUGGUGCAUUGAGACUCACAUUCAAUGUCUUAUCUAUAUAAAAGUGUCUUAGGCAUAAAUCGAUGGAUCUUGAACCCAAUAUCUUAUCAUCAUGGUGUAUCAGGACUUUAACCCAAUGUUUUACCCUCUUUUUGCGAUUGGACAUAAAUCCACCGUCUUAUUCUUUUGGUGCGAUAAAACUUAAAUCUAUCGUCUUACCCAUAAUGAGGCUCAACCUCAAGCCUUCAAAAUAAUUGUAAUUUUAUCACUUUUGAAGAUAAUUAAUAUGAUCGUAUAUUUUAAUUACACACAAAAUUGAGAUUAUUGAUUUAUUAUAAUCAACAUUAGUAGUUAAUAAAUAUAGCUUAAUAGAUCACAUGCCCCAUAUAAAGGUUGAAAACAUACAUUUCACUAAAUUUUGCUUAUUUAAUAUUAAAAUAAAUUAAGGAAUUCUCUUUCGAGCCGAUCAAAAUUAAACGUAUAUAAAAUCGACAGGUCUCUUUAAAUACUUACUUUAGAUGAUACCUCCAGAUCUGUUACAUAAAUAAUUGUAAUAUAAAGAUAAAUCAUACCUUGAAGAUAUAAGAAUCUUAUUGCAUAACUUAUGCAAGAUAUCUUUUGCACUUUUCCCGUCUUCUUCAUCAUUCUUUAAGAAUAGAACAAUCGUGCUGAUAACGUGUUAUGAAACUAUAUGAAAUUAGAAGAAGAAAGUAGAGAGAAGAGAAAAGAUCUCUUAUUUAUAGUAUAUUCAGGAUUCUUAGAUCUUUCACAAAUCUUAUUUACAAUGAAAGAAAACCCUUUAUUUAUAGGUAAAACCUUACUUGGUCCCCAAGUAGGAAUCCUAACCAUAUCCUAAAAGUACUCCACAUAAUUAGACAUUCACUAUAAUACAAAUUGUUUAUAAUAGGAGGAGAGUUUUGAAAAAUGUUUUCCUUAAUUUUUGAAGGAAAGUCAUUUUUCUUAAUUUUGAGAAAAAUGAGUUAAUUUGAAAAAUAUUUUCCAAAACUUUUGUACCAACCAAACAUGAGAAAAUUGGAAAAUAUUUUCCUUCAUACCAAACACACUCUUAAACUUGAACAAAUAGACACACAUUCUAUGUGCCUCCUACACGUCAAUUUGCGUCAUAUGGUGUGUCCAUGUUUAUUAUGUCAUAUAUGACUUAUGUGUCUACUAGUUCAACUUUCUAUAAUUUUAAGUGUCAACAUGUAUGCACCCAAAGUAGGAAGACAUUAAUGUGAAGUGAGGCCAAGUUAAAUGACAUACCUAUAUUUAACAAGAUUUCAAGACAUAUGUAGUGUGGGUGUCACUUACAAUGGUGAGACGUCUGUACUUUUCUUGAGGAUGCUACAGAACUUUAGGAAACUUCCUUUCUUUCUUCCUAAGUGAUAUAACUUGAUUCCAUUUGGUAUCUUAUGAUCCGAAUAGGUAUCUAACCUUCUUCAUUCUUCUAUUUGCAAAUGGUUGAUACUAGACAUAAUGGAGUGAAAGUACAAUUUCUAGUGGCAGAAUCGACAUUCAGAUGUUGAGGUAGAAACAGAGGUAGGGGAAGGCACAGAGGGAGGGAAACAUCCUCCAAGAUGGAGCUGUGGUGGUGGUUGGGCCAAGGCCAACAACCUCUCUCCCACUACAAGAUCAUGUGGAGGAAGAGUUUGAGAUGUAAAUCGAGAAGGAUGUUGGGCUAGCGGUGGAAACACAAGUUUAGGGUUCAUGUCUUCCUCCUAUAUCUUCGGAAAUGGUUCAACAAGUGUUAAAAUUUCUAAGUGGGUUGGGAGGAUUUGUAACCUCCCCCACUAUGUCGGCUACUCAAGCACCAGUUACUAAUUUUAUUACUUCUUCAUCCCCAAGAAUGAAUAAGGCUAAGGUACUAUGUGUUUUCCAUUCAUUGUUGGGAGCUAUGCUAAAUUGAAUUGAACAUGAACCAUUAACUAAGCAUUCUGAAAUGGAAGCCUCUAGUGUUCCAUGUACAGAGCUUAAGGAUUACACAAAUUGGGUAUCAUAAAUCAGCACAGGUAGAGUUACUUACCUUCAUGUUGCAGGGUGAAGCCAAACAAUAGUGAAGGGCUUAUGUGGAGUGCCAUGCAUUAGUUUUGCCUCCAUUGACUUGAACUUAGUUCCAUGCCCUAUUCCUUGAGAAUUAUGUUCUCGAACUCUCCGAGAUUAUAAGAAGGAUUAGUUGUUGGCUCUUGCGCUAGGUAGCAUAUAACAACUUAUGAUGCUAAGUUUCAUACUUUCUCUCGCAACACUACUCAACAUGUUAGUAUUAAAGACGAGAGUGUUUUUCUUUAUGUGAAUAGUCUAAAAACUAAAGUGCAUGUCUUAUCUAUGCACAUGCCUUCGACAAGAAAGAUCUUCAAUGAGGUAAUAGACUAUGUGAUGAAAUCUGAAGAAGUUAGGUAGGUUAGGUAAGACAAAUCAUUGGCUAAGAGGUCUGAGAAUAUGAGCAAAUACAGUGGUUCCUUAUUCAAAGGUGCUAGUUAGUAGUUGUAUUAAGCUCAUCUGAUUCAAUUAGCGUUACUAGCUUCUUAGGGUAGUUAUUCAUGGGUCACAUAGUAGUCUCUGGAUCAAAGUGGUCAAGCAUCUUCUUAUUUGUUAGUCAUUUUGAUCUUACUUGACUGAGAAUAUUUCAACUAUGGUGAGAUGGUUCAAUUCAAAUGAGAAUGCUCUCAUAAAUUGAUAGGUAACCCGAUACAACAAUAUACUAAAGUUGUAGUCCUAGCAAGUGGAUACGGUAAUGGAAGAGCAGGACCAAAGAGUGGUCAUGGUAAGAUCCAGAGAGGCCGUAUAGGGUAGAGGAAAUGAUAAUUAUGGGAGGGGAGUGGGGCAUCCAGGUAGAGGGGUUCUCCGGAAUGAUGAUAGAGAUUAGUGUAACACCUUUUCAAGUAAGACUUAGGUUGAGGCAUCAUUUCUAAUGAUGACAAGUAUUGUUCUUGUCUUUGAGUGAAUGACUUAUAUCUUAUUUGAUAUGGGUUCCAAGUAUUCAUAUAUUUUUAUUAAAUUUGCAUUUGAACCUCACUUGAUUGUGGAUAUCAUUUACGCCCCAAUUAUGUUUCUACCACGAUUGGGGAGUCGGUAGUAGCAACCCAUGUGUAUUAUGCUUGUUCUAUGAUAUAUAUAUAUAUAUAUAUAUAUAUAUGAAGGUCUACACAUGGUUAGAUUUGACCAUUUUGGAUAUGCGAAAUUUCAAUGUGAUAUUGGGUAUGACUUGGUUGUCAUCUUAUUAUUUUGUGCGAAAUUGUAAUGCUAACACAGUAAGUCUAAACUCCCUAGUAGGGAUAUAAUGGAGAGGAAAGGUGUAUAUAACACUUAAUAUGAAAAGAUCAUAUCUUUUGUUCGGGCUAAAAGACUAGUGGGAGGUUUUCUUUUGUCCCACUUAGCUCUAUCUAGGAUAUUAGUCUGGAGUCCCUAUAUAUCGAAUCAAUAUCAGUGAUUCGUAAUUUCUAGAAGUAUUUCUACGGAUGUGUAUGGUAUGCCUUUGGAUAGAGAAUUUGAUUUAUUUAUAGAUUUGGAGUCGGGUACUCGCCCAAUCUCUAUUCCUUCUUAUCAAGAUUCAACUUCAGGAAUUCUUAGAUAUGGUAUUCACUUGUCUCACUACUUCACCUUGGGGUGCUCUGGUCUUGUUUGUGAAGAAGAAGGAUGAUAGUGUUUGCAUUCAAGAUCUAGCGACACUGUCUUUGUAGUCAUAAGUGUGUACUGCUUACAAAUCAUCACAACUUACAACAUAUGUUUACUUAGAGAUUUAAAUUUGAGGUAGAAGAGGUAGAUGGAGUUGUUAAAAGACUAUUAUGAAACCAUGUAGUACCACCCAUGCAAGGACAACGUGGAAGUAGAUGCAUUGAACCAGAAGACAAUUGGCAUAGGCAGUUUGGCUUGCUUGGGGUGCAUACGUGACGCUUAAUUAGAGAGACUAAAACUCCAACAUCUAAGUUCAUGCACUUGGGAAUUUCAAAAAAGGGUGGGUUGUUGGUCAGUAGUGAUAUUAAGCACAGUUCUAUAGAGAAAAUCAAAGCUAGAAAGUCUGAAAAUGUAGAUGCUACACAGGAUGAAGAUGGAGUCCUCAGUUUAGAGGACAUAUUUGGUGUUCCUAGGGUUUGUGAAUUUAAUUUUGAAAGGUUUUAAUCGAGUCUCAUGGUUCAUGGAAUUGAAUUCAUCUGAGUGUAGCUAAAAUAUAUCGAGGCUUGAGACAACUUUAAUGGUAGACAUAGUUGAGUAUGUUUCUAAGUGACAUAAUUGUUAACAAGUAAAGUAUGAGCACCAAUUGUCUAGAGAUUUUAUUUAGAGAAUGUCUACACUUGAGUGGAAGUGGGAAAAAAUAGGCAUGUACUUCGUGCAACGACUCUUUAUGACCUUAGGGAGGUAUGAUGUAAUUUGGGUCAUUGUUGAUAAAUUGACUAAACCAGCCAUUUAAUUCCAAUUUGAGUGGAUUAUAAAUCCUAUAAGUUGGCUAAGAUAUAUGUAAAAGAGAUAGCACAGUUUCACAUGAUGCCCCUUUAUAUCAUUUCAGACAAAAGCACUCAAUUUACUUCAAUGUUUAUGGUAAGUUAAGUGAAGCAUUAGUACUCAAUUAAAUUUUAGCAUAAUUUUCAUUCUUAUACAAAUAACUGUUGGAGAGGAUAGUUCAUAUGCUAGAGGACAUGUUAUAAGCAUGUAUCAUUGACUUUGGAGGUUACGUUGUUGGGACCAGUCUUACCCUUAUGCGAGUUUGCAUACAGAAAUAAUUAUUGAAGUUGUAUUAAUAUGACACAUUUGAAGCACUUUAUGAAAGGGGAUUGUAGAUCCCUUACAGGAUGAUUUGACAUUGGGAUGUGAAGCAUGUGGGUGUGGAUUUGGUAAAAGGAAGAUCAAGAUAAGGUAAUAGGCAUCCCAAUUAAACUUUUGGUAGCCUAAAGCAGACAAAAUGAGUAUAAGAAUUACAAGAUAAGAGACAUGACCUUUCAAGUUGGUGAAUAGGUAUUAUUGAAAUUGUCUCCAAUGAAAGGAGUGAGGUUUGGCAAGAAGGGUAAGCUUAGCCUCAUAUUGUUGGUCCAUUUAAAGUUCUUGACAGUGUGGGACUGGUUGCUUGCAGAUUAGCUUUCACACCUAGUUUCGUUGAGACAUCUUGUGUUCAAUGUAUCAUGUUGAAGAAUAACUAUGACUUGGUAAUAAAUUGUCAAGUGAGAUUCAAUCAUGUUAGAUAAUGAUCUUCGGUACAAAGAGAAGGUGAUUGAAAUGCUUGAUCGAUAUGUACAGAAAUUAAGGUCUAGAGAACUCAGAUUAGUGAAGGCUCAAUGGAAGCAUAUUUUAGUUGAGGAAGCCACGUCUCAGGAAAUCGAGAGGGAUAUGUAGGACAAGUACCUCUACUUGUUUGAGGAUUCAAGUACUACUUUCUUCUUGACUUAACCUAACUUUUCUUGUUUGGUAGCUCGAGAACGAGAGGCGGAUAAAUUCGUAUCUAUUGUAACGAACCCUCUAUCUUUGAUGGAUUAAUCAAUGAUAAAAUAAUUUAAGUAAGAAAACUUCUAGAGCAGUGACUUGAAAAUUCUAGGCUAGGCUAUAGCCUUUGAUGAAAUUUGAGCAAGGUGAGGUCUAGGGAAAUCUGGAAAGUAUUCGAUAAACUAUCUAAUCUAAGGCUUGUUUUUUUAUUAGCUAAGACAUUACUUAGUCCGUAGGACUUUUCAAAAUUGAUUUGGGCGAGUAGAACUUCAGAUAUCGAACUUGGUGUGAAUGGAUUAGUUUAGAAUGUCAAGGUGCGAAGGGGUAUUACAAAAGGGAGACUUUUAGGGAGAAUUCCAAAGUUUAUGUUUCUUGCAAGCUACUAAGUGGGUUAAGUUGUAGUUUAUGCAGUAUUUGCUUUAAAUCGCUCAUUAUUCUGGAAAACUCAAUUUUUGAAGAAAAAAAGGGUCUCCUAAGCGGUUUCUUUAAGUUUUCCCUAAAUUUCCUUGAUAAAGGUACGUAAGUCACUUCCCUAUCUUGAUAUUUGAUUAUUAGGCCUCAAAAUCCCUCGUAAGUUAAUCUCAAGCGGGAGUUUUUUUUAAAAAAUAAUGGUCGAAAAUAUCCUGGUUUGGGUGGGAUAAUCAUGAAACUGAGCUUGAAUUAGGAUUAAGCAAUACUUCUAGUAUAAUUAGGCCAAUUUGGGUUAAUUUUGUGCAUUUUCAUUAUUUGUAGACCUACUUCACUAAAUAAAUAUAAAUACACCUCAAUCUGCAACAUCAUAUAAGAAGUGGUUCAAACUCUUGUCGGAGCAUGAGACUCUUAAUAAAAAGUUGAGAAACGUGUUUAAAAUACCCUAUAUUUGGCAAGAGAUAUGAGGUGUACUUCACUCAUGUUGCAUAGUUUAGUUAAUCUAGUAAAGAAGUGUUAUUAAGACUGUAAAUAAUUUGGGAAUAAAACUAACCUUUCAUGCCAAAUUUAGUGAUGGCUUAUCUCUAGAGGUGACUUUUAGAGAAGAGAAGACCAAGUUUAAUCACAACAUUACCACAUUUGUAACCUUUGAAAUUCAUUCACAUAACCAAUGUUUAAACUAGAAAAUCUUACUUACUUAGAGCUUAAAUUAGAAAAUAGGUUUAUUAUUUGUCGGUACGUCAAAAAUAAAUUAAUAAUAUUUAAAUAUAUGUUUAAAUUGAUAACUUUUUUUCCUUUAAAUUUUUCUAACUCACUUUUUAAAAUAUUUAACAAACUCUGAUUAUUAAAUUAAGAAGAAAUUAUGAAUUUUUUUAAAAACCAGAAACACCACAGUGUUCUUAUUAAGUUUUAAAAAUUACAAUUUUAAAAAAAACUAUACCAGACAAGAGAUUAAACCAUAAAACUGCACUAGAAAAAUAUUAUCGAACACAGAAGUAGAUAUAAAAUAAUAGAAAUUGGAAAAAACUAUAGAAAUUUUACUAAAAAUAUCCACGAUAGUGGUGUGUGGGCUUGUGUCUAUCAAAAUAAAAUAAAAAUAUAGUGUUCUAUUUCGGGUUUGGACCCGGAACACUUUUAGUCAAAUGGGUAUCCAGUUGGACAAGUUUUAUAGGAAAAGUAUGUUUUAUAUAUAUAUAUAUAUAUAUAUAUAUAUAUAUAUAUAAAACAUACUUUUCCUAUAAAACAUGUCCAACUGGAUACCCAACCGAUUCGAAGAUAUCAAUUUCUGCGAGAUAAGCUCACUGUUGUGGGCAUACAACUUCACCUGACAUCGUUAAGGGGUCGUUUAGUAGAGUGUAUAAGAAUAAUGCUAAAUUAAGUGUAUUAGUAAUGCUUGCAUUAGCAAUUCACGUAUUAGUUAUGUAACGUGCAUUAGUUAUACACAAAUUAUUUUUAUGCAUUGUUCGGUUUGAUGUAUAAAAAAUAACAUGUGUUGCAUAAAAAGUUAAUUUAAAAAGAUACUCUCCAUUACUAUGGUAGAAAAGAUGUAAAAAAAGUUUUGAGGGACAUUUGGAUCUUUAAUCAUUUUAAUGCAUGCAUUAAAACCAUUGCAUUGCUAAUACCAAGAAAUCCUUGGUAUUAACAACACACACUUUAAUACACAAUAGAGUGUAGAAAAGAGUAUCAAACAAGAUACUAGUAAUGCAUAAGACUAAUACUUGCUUAUUUUUCCUAAUACACUCUACCAAACGACCCCUUAAGAGUUUGAUGUCCUUUAUUUUCCAGACCUAUUGUCCUACUAGGAGUAUAUCACAUCUGUAGCCAUUUAAUAUGUACGUGUAUGUUAUAAUUGAGUAUUCCUCCAACUCUUACACAUAUGUCUACUCCUAUUUAUUGGGUUUGAAAGUAAUCAAGACAUCAUGUGGAAGCUUAUGAUUCGUAAUCUUAUACUUUGUAAAUCAUAUGUCUAUAAAUUAGACGAUACAUAAAAAUAUAUUACAACAAACAUAUAUUAUUAUAUAACAUGACAAAAUUGAGCUACAUAUUUAAAAACUAAUAAAACAUAAAAAUUGUAGAGAGAAAAUUUCCUCAUCAACAAAAGUUUUUAAACAACUAAAUUGCACAUUCUAAUGUUUUAUGCUAUGAGAAUAGAAAUCUUCAAUAUAUGGAUCUCUAAACAUUUCCUCUAAACAUUUCCUAUAAGGGAUAACCAAAUAUGGAAGAGAUUUAUUUUUUCCUUUUAGGAAAAGUAAAAGCAAUUAUGAUACUUUUCUUUCAGGAACAAGUAAUACUCAAAUAUGAAAAAAAGAGAGGGUAAAACCCUAAAACUACCAAGGUUUGAGUCUAACUGUAUUCUGUUAUUGUGUUCAAGCCUAACUCAGAGUCACAAAAAACUACACAUAAGAUAAUAAUCCUUCCUUAUUCAACUUACGUCUUUCGUUCUAUAUGAUGUUUAUCUUGCAUCAAACACUUUCGAUGGGAAAAUCAAGAGCAUUUGUAUGUACCACAAAUAUCUUAGUAAAGUUGGGCAAUGCCAAGACUAGGUCCUCCGUCAUAGUUGUCUAAAGGCCUUCAAGUGCCUUUUGACGAUGUUCCAUCCAAACCCACAAGUUGUUCUUCUUUAGCAAGUUGGUCUAUGGUGCUGCUUUGGUUGAAUAUCCACUCAUGAUGAACCAAUUAUAGUAGUUACCAAGACAAAGGAAGGAGGUCAACUCAAUUACCUUUGUACAUGCCUCCCACUCUUGGAUAGCUUGUACCUUCGCCUCAUCCUCAUGCUAUCUUUUCGUUGUUGACAGCAUGGCCUAAGAAGUGUAUUUUUGAAAGUUCAAACUCACACUUCUCCCUAACUCAUUCUCCCACAAGAAUUGGAAAACAUUCCUUUAAGUGCACGACAUACUUGUCAAAGGUGUUAUUGUAGAUGCCUAUUUAAAAUGCGUAGACUACCACGAGCUGAUUAAGAUAGGGAUAAAAGGUCUUGUUUAUGAGGGUUCAAAAUGUAACUUGUGUAUUGGCUAAGUUGAAAGAAAUUAUCAACCACUCGAAGGCUCCAUAUCUCGUCACACAUGUUGUAUACUCUUGUUACGCCCCGAGCUACCCCCGAGAUGCGAACACGGAAUCUAGAACCACAAGUGAUGCCAAGCUAACCCUGUUGGCAUUAUCAUGAGCAUACUAAAGAAAAUAAACUUAUGAGGAAGUUAAAUAAUAAUUCAUAUAAAAAGAUGAGAAAUACUCAUAUACUAUAACUGAGAUAAAUGAAGUAUUGAUGAGUUUAAUACAAAGAAGAUAUUAACUCACCACUAAGUUGAAACUAACUAUGUCUGAAAAUAGCCUCUAAAUUGACUAGAAAUGCUGGGACAGGCCCCAGCUAAGUCUAGCAAAAACUGAAACUAAAAAAUUAAAUACUGAAAAGGAAAUCAUGACUAUUGUCCUUGGAGAAUGAGGGUUCACCACUGAAUCUGCCGAACUGGAGAUCGGGAAUCGAUCUAAGCGUGAUCUGCAUGCUGAGAAAUAGAACCUACAUCACGAGAAGAUAUAGCGCACGUAUCCGUCAGUAUUUGAAGCAAGUGAGCAUGUAGGAUAGGGUAAAGCUGAAACAAAACAUAACUGAACAAGCACAAAAACAAGUAUAAUAAUCUGAACAUAAUAUACUGAAUUUUGAGCUAACUGGAUGCAAUGACCAAAUUUAUAACAUGCUGAGACUAAAUAAUAACUUAAUUCUAAAUAUGGUCAAUGCAUUAAAGUGUCUGACUGAACUUUGGGAGCUACUAAUAACCGAUAAUAAAACCAUGUGAGGUAAAUGUGGAGUAUGAUGUAUACGCCCCAUCGAGAGGACCCAAUAUACCCUGCCAGAGGUAUAAAGGCACGCUAGUGUAAUCACUAAACUGAUUUCCCACAGAGAGGACUUACAACCUAUUUGGCUAGUAGUUUUGAAACUAAUUGGAUACGCUAAACCUGGUCCAACUCAGUAUUAUGCUACUCCCAAAUUAUAUAACUAACUGAUUACGACUGAGUUUUCUUUAAAUAUUGGAUAGCUCAAGCUGCACAUGCAAACUGAGAAUGCAAUAAUAAAUCUGGUAAUUAUAUAUUUAUAACUGAGACAUGUAUAUCUGAAGUAACUGAAAUAUCUGACCUAGCAUGUGUAAUUCAAGAACUAAAGAAAUACAUCGAUAGGGUGCUGAAAUUCAUGCAAUAAUCUGAGUGAUAACAUGAUAAUCUGAUUUGGAACAUAUAACUAAUAAAUUCAUGAAGUUUUAUUGAAGUUCUAGAAACCCUAGGCCUAAUCAUGAUAUGAGAAUCAAGAAUCUGACUGAAAACUAGGGACCCAAUGGGUAAAAGGAAUCCACUAGUGAAAUCCCACAUACCUGGUGAUGAAAUCAAUGGAUAAAAUAUUUAAAUUUCGGAGAUAGAACUGAGGGAACCUUGCUGCGUUCUUGAACUAGGGUUCUUGACCUUUUUCUCUUUUCUUGCUUCUAAUUUUCUAAAUUUUGAUUUAUGAUUUUGACUUAGGUAAUUUUUAGUUAGUUUCUAGGCUUAAACUGACUAAAAUCUGAUAAUUUAGAGUCAAAACGGCGUAUCUUAGGGUUUAAACAGAGUGGGAAAAGACCAAAAGACCCCUGAGUUAAUUGUUGUCGGACUAAACGACGACCUUGACUAACGGGCCGUUGUUCAAUCGGUUGUCCGUCGUUUUGGUCCAUAGGUUGGGUCUGUUUGACAUGACUUUACUAAAACGGACAUAACUUUUUACUCGGAGGUCUGAUUUUAGAAAACUCGGUGGAUAUCAAAAUCUAAUUCAAUUAUCUAUCAUUUCAUAAGUCACAGGACACCUAAUAAAAUUUGUGCUAAGAGUUAUGAUCAUUUGAGGUUGACCCAAGUGUAUUUUUUCCUAGGUCCGUCCAUCAUUCGACACUUAGACAAAUUUUUUAGGCUGAGUUUUUGGGGGCUUCCGACUCAAACAACGGAUGCACAGUACGGGCCGUAGAUCAGACUAUGAUCCGUCGAUCAUAACUGUUGGUUGCACCUGCAGAUUUCUGAAAGGUUGAUUUCUGGUCUAUAUUAGAUAUUGGGUGUCACAUUAUUCCCCCCUUGGGAACAUUUGUCCCCGAAUGAAGACUAAACUAGCUGAAAUAGAGGGAGAGAGAUUCAAUCCCUACUACUAAGCACUGAGAACUGUGUUUCUGACUAAAUUGAGUUUCGAGAACAUGCAAAUACGCUGAAAAUGCAAGUACAAACUGAGGGAACAUGAUUCUAAGACUGAAUUCACGCAUGAAUAACUGAAAACUGAAGAGGAACUACUAUCUCAAGCGAGAGUGGAAUCGGAAGGAAAGACGUGAGGAUAAAUGUCUUUCAUGGCUGCUUUUGCUUCCCAAGUAGCUCCCUCUACAAACUGAAUCCUCCUCAAAACCUUAACUGAAGCGACUUCUUUGUUCCUCAACCUUCUAUCCUAACGGUUAAAAAUCUCAACUGGUACAUGCUCAUAAGAAAGACUAUCUUUCACCGCUACACUCUCUAAUGGCACUACAGAGGAUGGGUCACCCAAACACUUUUUCAAAAGCGAGAUGUGGAAGACUGGAUGUACUGUUGCUAGUUCUGCUGGCAAAUAUAACUCAUAGCCACCUUGCCAACCCUUUUCAAGAUCUUGUUAGGGCCUACAUAUCUAGGAAUGAGUUUCUCUUUCUUGCCAAAUCUCAUCACUCCUUUCAUAGGUGACACUUUCAGAAAAACCCAAUCCUCAACUUGGAACUCUAGUUCCAUUCUCCUUACAUCUGCAUAAAAUUUCUGACAACUCUAGGUUGUCUUAAGCUCUCUCUAAUGAGUUGCACUUUCUCCAUAGCAUAAAAGACUGAAUCUGGUCCUAUCAAAGUUCUUUCACCUACUUCAAACCAACCAACAAGAGAUCUACAUCUAUGCCCAUAAAGUGCCUCAUAAGGGGCAUCUUAAUGCUGGAAUAAUAGCUAUUGUUGUAGGCGAACGCAAUAGGAGGAAGGUGAUCAUCCCAACUACCCUUGAAAUCAAUCACACAAGCUCUAAACAUAUCCUCUAGGUCUUGAAUGGUACGUUCUGCCUGUCCAUCUUCCUGUGGAUGAAAUGUUGUGCUAAGGUUAACUUGAGUACCAAGACCCUUCUGAAAUGACUUCCAGAAUUGAGAGGUAAAUUGAGGACCUCUAUCCGAGAUUAUAGACAAAGGAACUAUAUGUAACCUCACAAUUUCAUUAAUGUGAAGCUUGGCAUAGUCCUCUGCCAAAUAUGUAGUCUUGACAGCUAAAAGCGAGAAGACUUAGUAUUCUAUAAACUAUCACCCAAAUGGAGUCAUGUUGUCUGCGAGUACGAGGUAACCCUAUGACGAUAUCCAUAUUUAUCACAUACCACUUCCAAGUAGGAAUAUCGAUCUCUUGAGUCAUACCUCGUUGUUUCUGAUGUUCUACCUUGACUUGCUAGCAAUUGUGGUGUUUACUCACAAAAUCUGCUAUAUCCCUCUUCAUGCCAUCCAUCAAUAGACUUCCCGCAGAUCGUGAUACAUUUUAGUGGAACCUGGAUGAAUAGAAUAUCUGAAGUUAUGGGCUUCUGCAAGGAUAUGCUUUCUCAACUCACCCACAUCAGGAAAAUACAAUCUACCCUGGUAGCGAAGUACACAAUAUCCCCCGUUGGGAGAAAACCUGCACUCUCUAAUUGUGGACUGCACCCUUAAGUUCAAUCAAGAUUGGAUCACUAUUUUGCUUUUCCUUAACCUUUACUGCCAAAGAAUAUUUUUCCCAUUCUGAACUGUUACACCACUAUCUGAUAUGCUCAUAAGGAGAACUCCCAAGAGAGCAAGCCUGUGAAUAUAUUUCACUAGAUCCUUUCUUUCUUCCUCAACAUGGGCUACACUAACCAUACAUAAUCUGUUAAAAGCAUCUGCUACUAAAUUCGCCUUACCACGAUGAUAAUGUACACUCAUAUCAUAAUCCUUAAGGAACUCAAGUUAUCUCCUCUGGCCAAGAUGCAACUCUUUUUGGGUGAACACAUACUGAAGGCUCUUAUGAUCACUGAAUACAUAUACAUGAACACCAUACAAGUAGUGUCUCCAGAUAUUAAGUGCAAACACCACUGCUGCAAAAUCGAGGUCAUGAGUUGGAUAGUUCUUCUCAUGCACCUUAAGUUGUCUAGAAGCAUAAUAUAUAACCUUAUCUCGAUGCAUCAACACACAACCUAGGCCAACACUAAAUGCAUCACAAUAUAUCACAUAACCAUCUGAACGCUCUGGUAGACUCAAGAUUGGAGUUGUAGUCAAUCUAGUUGUCAAUUCUGUAAAACUUUUCUCAUAAUCACUGACCAUCGAAACUUGACCAUCUUCUGAGUUAACCUAGUCAAUGGUGAGGUUAUAGAUGAGAAUCCUUCCAAAAACCUUCUGUAAUAACCUACUACACCUAAGAAACUUCUGAUAUCUGAAGCAGAGGUAGCUCUGGGCCAUUUUUUCACUGCUUCUAUCUUGUGAAUCCACUCGGAUAUCUUCGCUAGAUACAAUGUGACCAAGGAAAGCAACAGAUUGCAACCAUAACUCACAUUUGCUAAACUUAGCGAAUAACUGGCGAUCUUUAAGAGUCUGCAGAACAACUCUCAGAUGACUCGCAUAUUCUUCCUCAUUCCUAGAGUAAAUGAGGAUAUCAUCAACAAAGAUGAUAACGACCAAGUCCAAGUACUGUUUAAACACGCUGUUCAUCAAAUUCAUGAAAGCUGUAGGAGUAUUGGUUAGUCCGAACGACAUAACUACAAAUUCAUAAUGACCAUACCGAGUUCUGAAGGCUGUUUUCGGAAUGUCAUUUUCUCUGACUCUAAGAUGAUGAUAACCCGAUCUAAGGUCUAUCUUUAAGAAAUGGCUAGCACCUUGAAGUUCAUCAAACAAUUCAUCAAUACUGGGGAUGGGAUAUUUAUUCUUGAUUGUAACCUUGUUCAACUGUCUAUAGUCAAUGUAUAUUCUGAGAGAACCAUCUUUAUUCUUUACGAACAACACUGGUGCACCCCAUUGUGAAAUAAUAGGUCUGAUGAAGCCCUUAUGUAGAAGAUCUUUCAAAUUCUCUUUCAAUUCCUUAAGCUUUGCUGGAGCAAUUCUAUAAGGAGGAUGAAAUAGGCUGGGUAUCUUGAAGGAGAUCAAUUCCAAAGUCGAUUUCCCUUUCGGUAGGGACUCUGGGAAGAUCUAUAGGAAAUACUUCUCAAAACUCAAGAACUACUUAAACUGACUCAAGAGUUGGAGUUUUAGAGCUAGAAUCUUUAACCCGAACUAGAUAAUACAUAUAAUCCUUAGAGAUCAUCUUUAUGGACUUAAGGUAAGAAAUGAAUCGACCCAUAGGCGCUAAGCAACUACCCUUCCAUUCUAAGAUUGGUUCGUCUGGAAACUGAAAAUGAACAUUCCUAGUUCUACAAUCGACUAAGGAAUAACAUGAAAGUAACCAAUCCAUGCUUAGAAUGAUAUCGAUGUCUACUAUUUUAACUCUACAAGAUCUGCUGAGGUGACUUUCAGAGAGACUGUGACAAGGCAAUUUUUGUAUACCCGUCUAGCUAUAACUGGGUCAUCGACUGGAGUAGAGACUAAGAAAGUUUCUGAGAGAGUUUCUGGAUUAACACUAAAUUGGGCUGCUAUGUAAGGAGUUACAAAGGAAAGAGUAGCCCCUAGAUCUAACAAUGUAUAAACAUCAAGGUCAAAGAGUCGUAAUGUACCAGUGACUAAAUUAGGAGAACCUUCCUAAUCCUGGCGAACCUAAAGAGCAUACAGCCUAUUCUGGCACUGACCGCCACUUGUACCAGAUGAGUUACCCUGCUGAGUCGGGCGACUUGGUAGUGCUGAUGAAGUUGUAGACUGAGCUCUACCGUUUCCACCUCUUUGACCCUGUCAACAAGGACAAUCCCUCAACCUGUGACCAAACUGACCUCAUCGAAAACAUCCUUCUUUUCCUGCGAGGCACUCGCUUGGAUGGUGCUUACCACACUUUGAGAAAGUGGGGUAAGUCUUGCUGCUUGAAACACUUCCCUGAGAGUUAGAUCCUGGUGCUCUAACCUUUUGGUCAUACCUGUUCUUGGAGGAUGGAACACUAGUUGACGAAGUAAAUGGAGCUGAAAACUUCUGUUGGUUCUGCGAGUGAUUUCCACCACCCGAUUUCUUCUAAGAAUAGUCAUAUUUUCCAGUCCUAGCCUUCUUAUUCUCCUUGGCAUGUUCCCUAAGCUUAUCACCCUCAACAUGUUGAGCGUGAGUCACAAGCCUAGAGAUGUUCAUAUCUUUCAGUAACAUAGCAUUUCUGCACUCAGUUUUCACCAAAUCUGACACUCCAUCAAAGAACUUUUUCAUCUAAGCCCUGGGUUCAGCAACCAUGUGAGUUGCAUACCUGGAGAGUUGGUUAAACUUGAGCCCAUACUCUUGUAAUGUCAUGUUUCCCUGCCUCUAGUUCAUGAAUUCUUGAGACUUUGCUUCUCUCAACUCUAUUAGGAAAAACCUAUCCAAAAAGGUCUCACUAAAGCAAUCCCAAGUAAUAGGAGUUGUAUCUGUACCCCUAUUUUCUUUCCAUUGAGUGUAUCAGAUAUGAGCAACAUCCUUCAAUUAGUAUGAUGUAAACUCAACCCAAUCAUUCCCAGUGACUUGCAUUACCUGAAAGAUCUUCUUGAUCUCAUCCAAAAAAUUCUGAUGAGUUUAAUACAAAGCAGAUAUUAACUCACUACUAAGCUAAAACUAUGGCUGAAAAUAACCUCUAAAUUGACUAGAAAUGCUGGGACAGGCCCCAGCUAAGUCUAGCAAAAACUGAAACUAAAUGACUAAAUACUUAAAAGGAACUCAUGACUAUUGUACUCGGAGAAUGAGGACUCACCAUGAAAUCUGCUGAACUAGAUAACGAGAAUCGAUCUAAGCGUGAUUUGGAUGCUGAGAAACUGAACCUACAUCAUGAGAAGAUGUAGAGCACGUAUGUGUCAGUAUUUGAAGGUACUGAUCAUGUAGGAUAGACUAAAGCUGAAACAAAACAUAACUGAACAAGCACCAAAACAAGUAUAAUAAUCUGAACAUGAUAUACUGAAUUUUGAGCUAACUGGAUGCAAUAACAAGAUUUAUAAUAUGUUGAGACUGAAUAAUAACUGAACUAUAAAUAUGGUCAAUGCAAGUCUGACUGAACUGUGGGAGAUACUAAUAACUGAUAAUAAAAUCACAUGAGCUAAAUGUGUAAUCUGAUGUAUACGCCCCAUCGAGAGGACCUAAUAUACUAUGCCAAAGGCAUAAAGGCAUGCUACUAUGAUCACUAAACUGAUUGCCCACAGAGGAGACUUACAACCAACUUGGCUUGUAGUUCUGAGACUAAUUGGGUACGCUGAACCAUAGUCCAACUUGGUAUUAUGAUACUCCCAAUGAAUUAUCUAAUUAAUUGAUUAUGAUUGAGUUUCUUUAAAUACGGGAUAGCUCAAAAUGAAUAUGCAGAACGAGAAUGCAAUAAUUAAUCUGAUAAUUAUGCAUUUAUAACUGAGGCAUGUAUAUCUGAAGUAACUGAAUAUCUGACCUAGCAUGUAUAAUUCAAAAACUAAAGUAAUGCAUAGAUAGGUUUCUAAAAUUCAUGCAAUAAUCUGAGUAAUAACAUGAUAAUCUGAUUUGGAACAUAUAGCUAAUAAAUUCAUGAAGUUCUGAUGAAGUUUUAGAAACCCUAGGUCUAAUCAUGAUAUGGGAAUCAAGAAUCUGACUGAAAACUAGGGACCCAAUGGGUAAAAGGAACCCACUAGUGAAAUCUCACAUACCUGGUGAUGAAAUCCACGAUGAAAUAUUUAGAUUUCGGGGCUGGAAUUGAGGGAACCUUGUUGCGUUCUUGAACUAGGGUUGUUGACCUUUUUCUCCUUUCUUGCUUCUAAUUUUGUAAAUUUUGAUUCAUGAUUUUGACUUAGGUAAGUUUUAGUUAUGUUUCUAGGCUUAAACUGACUAAAUCUGAUGAUUUAGGGUAAAAAUGACUUAUCUUAGGGUUUAAACGAAGUGAGAAAAGAUCAAAAGACCCCUAAGUUAAUUGUUGUCGGACGUAACGAAAACCUGGACUGACGGACCAUCUUUCAAUUGGUUGUCCGUCGUUUGCGUGCGUAGGUUGGGUCUGUUCGACAUGACUUUACUAAAAUAGGCAUAACUUUUUACUCGAAAACUUGAUGGCUAUGUAAAGUUAAUCCAAUUAUCUAUCAUUUAGGUCAUAGGACAUCUAAUUUAUUUUUUGCUAAGAGUUAUGAUUUUUUGAAGUUGACCCAACUGCAUUGCCUCCUAACUAUCUGCUAAUUUCCACCUACAAUGUGUUGGUCCAUCUACGAACCAUACUGGUCAAUCGUGGUUCUUAUUAGAGAGUGGGUAAAUGGGGUCUUGAUCGACAGACAUAGACUACAAACCGUAGUCUGACCUACAGACUGUAGGUCCGUCCGUCGUUCGACACUUAGUCAAAUUUUUUGGGCUGAGUUUUUGGAGGCUUUAGACUACGGUCCGUCGAUGGUAAUCGUUGGUUGCAUUUGCAGAUUUCUAAAAAACUGAUUUUUGGUUUGUUUUAGAUACGUGGUGUUACAACUCUCAUCUCCAUCUGCACUGUAAUGGAAUUACAAAAGUGAGUUUAUUCCACUCAAUAGGUCCUUAGAAUUCAAUAAAUUUUUCAGGUUCUCAUUAAAUGUUUAGAUAUGGGGUUUCUAGAUUUUAUAAGAUAUAUUGUGAUUAAGAUUUUUUUGAUUCAUAUAAAUUUAUUUCUUGAUAAUUUAAUAUAGUUCCAUGCAUAUCAGUCAGAACCCUAGAUUGUGUAAAUUUUUCCUAGUUCAUGAAUUUUACUUGCUAGGUCAACCAGACAUAAAUUCAUGCUCAGAUUUUGAAUGUCAUAUUCUCAGUAUAUAAAUGUUUUAUUCUCAAUUAGCAUGUCAAUAUUUGAGAAAUUCAAUAUUUAGUGCAUUUUUGCUUCAUAAAUAUUCAGAUGAGAGUAGACUUAGCACCGAGUUGAGCUAGGGUUCAGCAUAUCCUCAAAGUCCCAAAAUUACGUGCCUGCGUAGGUUUAUUAUUCCCCUUUGCUGGAAAUUAGAUUUAGUGAUCACGCAACAGUCAUCUCUCUAUACCCCUGGCAAGUUAUAUUUGGUCCCAUCUGUGGGGCCUAUACAUCAGACUCCAUGUUUAGCUCACAUGGUUUAUGUCGGUUAAUAGUAGCUUCGACAGUCAGACUCUUAGUGUAUUGACCACGUUUUCAGCAUUUACUUCAGAAAUAUGUUCAACAUGUUAUCUUCAUCAUUAGUGCUUGGUCAUUGCACUCAGUUUAGUUCUCAUCUAUACUUCUCUUUAUAUCUAUAUUAUUGUUUAGAAUAUAUCAUAACUCAGUUAUACGUUAUUCAACCUUAAUACUUUGUUCAACUUAGCAUAUCUCUAUACUACAUGCUCAGUACAUUGAAGCACAUACUUUUCUACAUCAUUUCAUGAUGUAGGUUACGACACUCGGCAUCUAGAUCAUGCAUAGAUUAAUCCUCGGUUCAACUUCAGCAACUUCUGUAGUGAGUCCAGCUCAUACUUCGAGGACAAUAGACAUGCUUUCUAUUUUAGUCUUCACUUCAAUUUUCAGUUUUGCAAGAGUUAGUUGGGGGCAAGUCCUUUCAGACAUAUAGUCAGUGUUGAGUUGUUUCCCCUAUAUAUUCAGAUAAAUUUUCGUUUGGAUUCAAAUUAGUUUUGUCUCAUUUAACAGUUAUGUUGUUGCUUACCUAGUUAUAUUUUUCAGUAUGGUUGUUAUAUGCCAGACUCAGGAUUAUCUUGGGCCACUCGUGAUCCUAGGUCUCGUGCAACAUAUAGGGAUAGCCUCGAGGCGUGACAAGGAAGGUGCUUAGGUAUCUUGUCAUGCAUAACAUCUUUAUUCUUUUCCAGUAGCUUCUCUAUGCAAGGCUACAACGUCACUUAUUCCUUUUUUAUUUGGUGUGAGCUCAACUUAAGCUAUACAUUGCCCGAGAAGAGCGGUUUGGGUGCACUUCAACCACUUGAGGCUCCUAAUAAACCAUGUAUUCCUCCAUACUUUCAGUGGUUUUCCUGAAUAUCGGCUCCCCCUUCUUAAGCCCCUUGACAUAGCCAAAAUAUGUGCUUGGCUAUGUUUGUGUGGCAUAGUCACUGUAGGCACCAUGCAAGAUCCUUCUUAUUCCAUGACCAAGAGACACUAGAGGUAGGGGCCGAUCAUGGCAUGAAAAUCUAAUGAAAGAAUUUAUCGCAUGACUAUGUCUGCAUUCACAUGCACCAGCUGCUUAAGGUUGGACAUGACAGAUGGGGACUGGCUAGGUCUAUGUAUUAUAUCUGGAUCGCUUGAUUGUAGGUGAUCGAAGAAAAAAUCAAAUGAAAGUAAUAUCUACAAAUCCUACCGAUAAACAAUUGAAGAAAAUUAUUAUCUGGCUGAAAUUGUAAUGUUGUCAAAUGUAAAAAAAAUCAUAAAAUUUGAGUUCAGGGGGAAAUGUUGCUGAAAUUUCGAUCAUAAUUUAAUGGAUACUUAUGUCUUAUCCCAAUUUCUCCAUAAGAUAAUUUUUCUGGCUUAGCCGCCUGAACAUUAUCUAUGUGAAGAAAUUUCAAUUUUACAAAUAUGGUAGUGUUGUGAUUCUACUUCAUCUCUUCUUCUCCCUAUUAUAGUAAAAACCACCUUUUUGAGAUAGGAUCCUUGAAAAUAUUAUUAUUUUCUAAGUUUUCAGUUUGUCCUUUCCACUAAUGUUGUGGAAAAUAAGAAAAUGUCUAGGAACAUACCGUGUCGAAUUAUGUUUGUCAAUUAAUUUUUAAAAAUUAAUAAUAUGUGUUUGUUAUGUUUUGCAUUAAAAUAAAAACAUAAGAUUCUUUAACUUAGUAUUAACUCACAUUUAUAUUUUUUUAUUUUGGGCGUGCACAAAUAAUCACAUUUAUCAUAUAAUACAUGUAUGAUGUCAUAUAGGAUUCUAUGUAGGAUGUGAAUUGUCAUAUAGGACGCCAAGUAGAAUCUGAGUGUCCACUUAUUAAAUCUAUAAUAAUUUAAAUGGCUAUUGUGCACAUUCAAAAUUAAUGAAUAUAUAUAUAUCAAAUGAGAUCAAGGUAAAGGCACGUUAAUAUAUUAUAUCUAAUAUAGAAGUAUUACUUAUAUGAGAAAAUAGAACGAAUAAAAAUAUCAUUCUCACACAUUACUAAUUUUCUUCUUUCCCCCACAUGAACUUAAACUUUUCAACAAAAGUAGGCACAUCACUCACUAUAAAUACCACAUGCAUUCUUUUACUUAAAUCACAUCCAUAACUAAUAAUAUUACUGAUUAAAUAUCUCAUAAAAAUAAGAAAAAUGAAAAUGAUGAAAUUUUUUGUGCUUGUUGUAACUAUUUUAGCAUUGUUGCUAAGUGUAGCAAAUGCACAACAAUGUGGAAGUCAAGCUGGUGGAGCUUUGUGUGCCAAUGGGUUAUGUUGUAGUCAAUAUGGUUAUUGUGGCACUACUCCUGAUUACUGUGGACAGGGAUGCCAGAGUCAAUGCAACUAAAUUAUGUUUUGUGUGUACGUUCUAGCUUGAAGGCUAUGAUAAUAAUAAGGUAAUAUAUAUCCAUGUGGUUGUGUGUUUAAAAUAUAUAAAUUUGUAUUACUAGAAUAAAGUGGGAACAUGUAUGUACUGUGAGUUAAUUCCACAAGAACAAGAAUAUAGUGUCUGGUCAUGAACACUAUAUAUGUACUAGCUUGUUUGUUUUCUAUUUCAAUGUGAUGUUUAUUAAGAAUGGUCAAAAACCACUUAAUAAAAAUGUCCACUAAUUAAGUAUUAUUAGAUUCAUCCAAAUAAUUUUAUUUUCCAUAUCAUGUUUUCAGCCAUGUGUUAAACAUAUAUAUCAAAUAAAUAGUCCAAUUCAAAUUAGAAAGAAGCAACGUGCAAGUCAAAUAACAAAUAGACCAGACUUUAACACAUAAAACAAUUCAUAGUCAACAAGUAUAAUUAUCAUAUGAUCAACUAUAUCAAUAAAGAUCGUCCAGUCAUUCAAUACUCACUGUUAGGAUCGAAAAUAAUUAGAUGUAAUGCGAAAGUUAACAAAGCAAACUUCGAUAGACCUCGAUAGAUCACGCGCGAGUAAGAAGACAAACAAGAAAUAUAUCAAAAGACACAAAGAUUUAACGUGGUUCGGUCAAUCAAUCUACGUCCACAAAGAAAUGAAAAAUUCACUAUAUAAAUAUGAGAGUACAAAAAUUCACUAUAUAAAUCGGUCAUAUCUAUAUUCUUGUUCAGAAUAUUCAUAGCUCAGUUAUACAUUGUUCAACCUUUAUACUUUGUUCAACUUAGCAUAUCUCUAUACUGCAUGCUUAGUACAUUCAAACACAUACUUUGCGCUAUAUCAUUUCAUGAUGUAGGUCACGACACUCAGCAUUCAGAUUAUGCAUAGAUUAAUCCUCGGUUCAACUUCAGCAACUUCUGUAGUGAGUCCAGCUCAUAUUUCCAGGACAAUAGACAUGCUUUCUAUUUUACUCUUUACUUCAAUUUUAAGUUUUGCAAGAGUUAGUUGGGGGCAUGUCCUUUCAAACUUAUAGUCAGUGUUGAGUUGUUUCCCCUAUAUAUUCAGAUAAAUUUUCAUUAGGAUUCAAAUUAGUUUUGUCUCAUUUUUUAGUUAUGUUAAUGCUUUCCUAGUUAUAUUUUUCAGUAUGGUUGUUAUAUGCCAGAUUGAGGAUUAUCUUGGGGUCACUCGUGAUCCUAGGUCCCGUAAAACGUAUAGGGAUAGCCUCGGAGCAUGACAAGGAAGGUGCUUAGGUAGCUUCUCUAUGCAAGGCGGCAACGUCUCCUAGUAAACCAUGUAUUUCUCCAUACUUGCAAUGGUUUCCCUGAAUAUCGGCUCCCCCUUCUUGAGCCCCUUGACUAAUUGCAUAGCCAAAAUAUGUGCUUGGCUAUGUUUGUGUGGCAUAGCCACUGUAGGCACCAUGCAAGAUCCUUCUUGUUUUAUGACCAAGAGACACUAGUGUAGGGGCCGAUCAUGGCAUGAAAAUCCAAUGAAAGAAUUUAUCGCAUGACUAUAUCUGCAUUCACACGCACCAGCUGUAUGAGGUUGGAGAUGACAGAUGGGAACUGGCUAGGUCUAUCAUCUAUGUAUUAUAUCUGGAUCGCUUGAUCGUAGGUGAUCGAAGAAAAAAUCAAAUGAAAGUAAAUUGUAUCACAUGACUAUAUCUUCAUAUCUAAAAAUCCUACCGAUAAGCCAUUGAAGAAAAUUAUUAUCUGGUUGAAAUUGUUAUGUCAGCACAAAAAAUGUAAAAAACUAAAAUCAUAAAAUUUGAGUUCGGAGGGAAAUGUUGUUGAAAUUUCAAUCAUAAUUUAAUGGGUACUUAUGUCUUAUUCCAAUUUCUCCGUAAGAUAAUUUUUCUGGCUUAGCAGCCUGAACAUUAUCUAUGUGAAGAAAUUUCAACGUUACAAAUAUGGUAGUGUUGUGAUUCUACUUCAUCUCUUCUUCUCCCUAUUAUAGUAAAAACCACCUCUUUGAGAUAAGAGCCUUGAAAAUAUUAUUAUUUCCUAAGAUUUCAAUUUGUCCUUUGCACUAAUGUUGUGGAAAAUAAGAAAAUGUCUAGAAACAUUAAUUUUUAAAAAUUAAUAAUACGUGUCGACUUAUGUUUGUCAAUUAAUUUUUAAAAAAUAAUAAUGUGUUUGUUAUGUUUUGCAUUAAAAAUAAAAACAUAAGAUUCUUUAACUUAGUAUUAACUCACAUUUAGAUUUUUCUAUUUUAGGUGUGCACAAGUAAACACAUGUAUCAUAUAAUACACGUAUGAUGUCAUAUAGGAUUCUAUGUAGGAUGUGAAUUGUCAUGUAGGACGCUAAGUAGUAUCUGAGUGUCUACUUGUUAAUUCUAUAAUAGUUUAAAUGUCUAUUGUGCACAUUCAAAAUUAGUGGGUAUAUAUGUCAAAUGAGAUCAAGAUAAAGGCACGUUUGUAUAUUAUAUCUAAUAUAGAAGUAUUACUUAUAUGAGAAAAUAAAACAAAUAAAAAUAUCAUUCUCACACAUUACUAAUACACAUUACUAAUUUUCUUCUUUCCCCCACAUGAACCUAAACUUUUCAACAAAAGUAGGCACAUCACUCACUAUAAAUACCACAUGCAUUCUUCUACUUAAAUCCCAUCCAUAACUAAUAAUAUUACUGAUUAAAUAUCUCAUAAAAAUAAGAAAAAUGAAAAUGAUGAAAUUUUUUGUGCUUGUUGUAACUAUUUUAGCAUUGUUGCUAAGUGUAGCAAAUGCACAACAAUGUGGAAGUCAAGCUGGUGGAGCUUUGUGUGCCAAUGGGUUAUGUUGUAGUCAAUAUGGCUAUUGUGGCACUACUCCUGAUUACUGUGGACAGGGAUGCCAGAGUCAAUGCAACUAAAUUAUGUCUUGUGUGUACGUUCUAGCUUGAAGGCUAUGAUAAUAAUAAGGUAAUAUAUAUCCAUGUGGUUGUGUGUUUAAAAUAUAUAAAUUUGUAUUACUAGAAUAAAGUGGGAACAUGUAUGUACUGUGAGUUAAUUCCACAAGACCAAGAAUAUAGUGUCUGGUCAUGAACACUAUAUAUGUACUAGUUUGUUUGUUUUCUAUUUCAAUGUGAUGUUUAUUAAGAAUGGUCAAAAACCACUUAAUAAAAAUGUCCACUAUUUAAGUAUUAUUAGAUUCAUUCAAAUAAUUUUACUUUUCAUAUCAUGUUUUCAUCCAUGUGUUAAACAUAUAUAUCAAAUAAAUAGUCCAAUUCAAAUUAGAAAGAAGCAACGCGCAAGUCAAAUAACAAAUAGAUCAGACUUUAACACAUAAACAAUUCAUAGUCAACAAUUAUAAUUACCACAUAAUCAACUAUAUCAAUAAAGAUCGUACAGUCAUUCAAUACUCACUGUUAGGAUCGAAAAUAAUUAGAUGUAAUGCGAAAGUUAACAAAGAAAACUUCGAUAGACCUCGAUAGAUCGCGCUCGAGUAAGAAGACAAACAAGAAAUGUAUCAAAAGACACAAAGAUUUAACGUGGUUCGAUCAAUCGAUCUACGUCCACAAAGGAAUGAAAUAUUCACUAUAUAAAUAUGAGAGUACAAAAUAUAGAGAGAAUUUAUUACAUCAAUCAAUUCACUAGGAAUACAAGGGAGGUUCACACAAGUGAUAACGUAUUAAACUUGUGUUCCACAAAUUUUCCCCACAAGAAACGGACUAGCCAAUUAUAAACCAUUUCCUACAAAAAAAAAAAAAGGAUAGCCAAGGUUAAACCUUUUCCUAAAAUAAAUAAACAUAUAUAUGGUAAGAAACUCAGACCAAAUAAUACCCAAAAUUCACUACAUCAUGAAACAAAACAGCAAUAAAUAAAUUAAAGCAUACACACAUGCUAAGUGAUUUAUAUAUGCAAAUAUUCAUGAUCUGCAGUGAGCAAACUCCAUACAUGGACCAAAACGGCGUGGUAGUCGACUAAUAUAUAUAUAGUAUAUAAUAAAAAGCAAAAUAUACAAUAAUAUUUGACAAAUUAAAAAGUUAGUAUACAUAAAGUGUGCAAACACUACUUAAUAAAAGAUUCUUAUUUAGUUGCAACUUUUUCUGGUAUAUAUUUUCUCAACUUUUAGUCAAGUGGAGUCUUGAAUAGAUUUGAUCUUUCUGAAUUUCUAAUCAUACAAAAGGCAAUCUUUUGGGUAAUAACUGCAGAAAAAAUUACUUUCCUUGCAAGAAGAAAAAGGGGAAGAAGCAGGGUCGGACCCACGUUGGGUCCAGGGUAUUCAUCCGAACACCCUCGGCAAAAAAAAAAAACGAUAUAUAUAAGGUAAAUUUUUUAUAUUUUUGUAGAUACAUAUAUUUUGAACCCCUUAAUAACAAAUAAAAAUAGAUGGCUUAAUGGUAAGACCCUUGAAUAUUAAGUUGCACGCCCAAGGUUUGAAUGCCUUCAACAUUUAUUUAUUUUCCUUUAUAGUUUCAAGCAUUUUUUAUUCAAAGGACCCAUUUCGAAAGACUUAUUUACACGUUUAUAUUUUUAUUUUUUGAACCUCCUAAACAAAAAUCCUAGGUGCGCCGCUGGGAAGAAGAGUUUAUUAAAUUGCAAGAAAGUAUUGAAUAUAGCAAGAUCUUUGAUUUACCAUUAAUAAUUGAUUGUACAAAUUAGUGUUGUCAAUCUGUGUUAAGAAAAUCAGAAAUUACUUGUUGUAAUAAAUCAUUCAGAAACACGAAGUAACUGAGAUUUUUUAGAACCAGUAAAUAAGAUGAACAGAACUUUAUUUGUAAAAAAUAAUUUAAUCUGUAAAACUUACCAGAAUCUGCAAUACUCUUUCAGAAAAUUUAGGAAAAAAAUCAAGUCCACUGAAUUCACAGUGUCCCCUUAAGGAAAUUAUUUCCCUCUAGUAUCCGAGGUUUGAUUUGGAAUAUAACCUCCCAGGGUAAAAUGAUCUUAAUCAGUAGAGUAUAGAUACCAAAAACUCUACUGUCAGCGAAUCAAUCCACAGCAGGAAAGUACACGAAGAAAUAUGUGUUUUUAAGAAGAAGGAAGAUCAGAAAAUUCGUUAGUCAAUAUUCUGAAGACUGAAUGGUAUUUAUAGGCAAGAAUAAUAUAUUCUGAAAGGAUGCACGACCAUUAAUGAAAGGUUGCAAACUUUCAAAUGGUAUUGACUGUUCCUGAAAGUUGCAACCUUUCAGAACAGUGGCGGGAAUUUUUAAAUAUAACGGAAUUUAAAACGGGUCACGCGCGCGGAUCCGAGUCGGGUCGGGUUAACUAAAAAGUUGAAAACAUUUCGGUUAAUUUCUGUUAUCAACUAAUUAAUUGAAAAUAAUUUUUGGCCAUUUAAUUAAUUAAAUAAAUAAUUAAAACAAAUUUAUCCAAAAAAUUAUCUCUCGAUCGAUCAUUUGCCAAAGCCAAAGUCAAAGCGAGCGAUGACGACGACGGCGCGAGGGGGGUCCCUCUUUCCAACCCUUUUAACAAUUAAUAGGAGUGUUUAUUUAUUUAAACUCUCCUAUUUUCAUUUCCAUUACCGACGAGGGACUAUUGACUUUUUUAUUAAAGCAUUAGAGGACUUUUCAAAUUCCCAACCUUUCAAGUUCUAAACUUUUCAAAUUCCUCUCCUUCCCUCUAUUUCCCAUCAAUUCUUGCUACAUACCCAACAAUCCCCCACAUUGAUGGAGAAUAGUUAUAACAUAGGAAUGCACGGACAAUUGUGUACUUUACAAGCAAGGAUUAAUUGCAUCUGGAUAAGUAGGUUUCCCCUUGGACUUUCCGUAGUGAGCAUAUGUCGGAUAUACUCGGUCAAUCGGUAGAUGUGAUAUCUUUGAACCGUUGAACUUUGGUGUAUACCUAGACAACCAUAUGUCACACAAUUAACCCUUUACUGUUUAUGAUUCUUACGGUUGUGUUCUUUUCAGCCAUGAACACCUCCUGGUUUCAUGAGUGUAUAGAGAAUAGACUUUUGACAUAAAAAUCUCUUUGAAGCGGCUUCCACUUCACACUCACAUAGGUGAUUUCUAACCGUGUCAUCUCGUAGAUACACUAUUUGGUCGAAUCUACCAAACUUAGCAAAUCAUUAAAAUCUUUAAGCUUUAUUACCUCAUUAACAAGACUUAAAGUCUUAACCUUUUCCUGAACAUUAUCUUCAUCAUGAGAAUGGAUUGAGUUAAUUGACAAUGUCGAACCGUCAGCCACAACUUUGUUUUUCUCCUUGAAUCUAGCUCUUGGGAUCUCCAGUCCGCUAGAUAGAGUUACCGUCAUGCUGACUUGUCCUAAGCCGUAAACCCAUUCCCUUAGAUGAUCUUUCAACUGCCUCUCUCACUAGGCCUUUCGUUAGUGGAUAUGACACAUUAUCGCUUGACUUUACAUAGUCAAUUGUGAUAAUUCCAGUAGAGAGCAGUUGUCUUAUGGUGUUAUGUCUACGUCGUAUAUGACGAGACUUCCCGUUGUACAUAACGCUCCCUGCCCUACCUAUUGUUGCUUGACUAUCGCAAUGUAUGCAAAUUGGUCCAACAGGUUUGGGCCAGAAUGGAAUAUCCUCUAGGAAAUUCCGGAGCCAUUUCGCUUCUUCACCAGUCUUAUCCAAAGCAAUGAAUUCAGAUUCCAUUGUGGAGCGAGCAAUACAUGUCUGUUUGGAAGAUUUCCAAGAGACAGCUCCUCCACCAAGUAUAAAUACAUAACCACUCGUGAAUUUUACAUCAUUUGACCCGGUGAUCCAAUUUGCAUCACUAUAUCCUUCAUUCACAGCAGGAUAUUUAUUAUAAUGCAAAGCAUAAUGUUGUGUCCAUUUUAGAUAACCCAACACACGUUUCAUAGCCAUCCAGUGAGUUUGAUUCGGAUUACUAGUGUACCGACUCAGUUUACUAAUAGCACAUGCUAUAUCUGGUCGCGUGCAAUUCAUAAUAUACAUCAAACUUCCCAACACUCUGGCAUAUUCCAAUUGAGAGUCACUUUGACCUUCAUUCUUUUUAAAUGUACAACUUAAAUCAAUUGGAGUUUUGACUACAUUGAAAUUCAAGUAAUUGAACUUAUCCAAUACUUUUUCAAUAUAAUGAGAUUGAGAUAAUGCUAGUCCCUGGGGAGUUUUGAUAAUCCUGACCCCUAAGAUCAAAUCAGCAACUCCUAAGUCUUUCAUAUCAAACUUGCUGGACAACAUGCGCUUAGUAGCAUUUAUAUCGUCAAUUUCUUUACUCAUUAUUAACAUGUCAUCAACAUACAAACAAACAAUGACUUCAUCAUUCAUAACGUUUUUAAUGUAAACACAUUUAUCACAUUCGUUAAUCUUGAAUCCAUUUGCCAACAUUAUUUGAUCAAAUUUAGCAUGCCAUUGUUUGGGUGCUUGCUUGAGUCCAUAAAGUGACUUCACAAGUCUGCACACUUUCUUUUCUUUACCAGGAACUAUAAACCCUUCAGGUUGUUCCAUGUAAAUUUCUUCCUCUAACUCUCCAUUUAAGAAUGCUGUCUUUACAUCCAUUUGGUGGAUUUUAAGAUCAUGCACUGCUGCUAGUGCUAUUAAUAUCCUAAUUGAUGUUAUCCUUGUUACUGGAGAGUAUGUGUCAAAGUAGUCCAGACCUUCCUUUUGUCUGUACCCUUUGACUACCAGUCUAGCCUUAUAUUUGUCAAUAGUCCCAUCAGGUUUCAUUUUCCUUUUAAAGAUCUAUUUUGAUCCUAAAGGUUUAUUUCCUGGAGGAAGAUCAGUCAAUUCCCAAGUGUGAUUGCUUAAAAUUGAUUCAAUCUCACUAUUGACUGCUUCUUUCCAAUAAGUUGACUCUGACGAAGACAUAGCUGCUUUAAAUAUUUGAGGCUCAUUUUCAAGCAAUAGUGCUACAAAAUAUGGUCCGAAAGAAACAGAUUUUCGUUGUCGAGUACUUCGCCUAGGUUCCUCAGUAGUUAGAAUAAUUUCCAUUGAUUCUUCUCGUCGUCGUUUAGGUCUUUCACUUGUUGACUCACUUUCAGUUUUAUACAGAUAAAUGUUUUCAAAAAACUCUGCACUAUCUGAUUCUAUUAUCGUAUUAACAUGAAUCUCAGGAUUAUCAGAUUUGUGAACCAAAAAUCGACAAGCUUUACUAUUCACAGCAUACCCAAUAAAGACACAAUCUAUUGUUUUGGGUCCAAUUUUAACCCUCUUAGGUAAAGGAACCUCUACCUUGGCUAAACACCCCCACACUUUGAAAUAUUUCAAGUUGGGUUUUCUUCCCUUCCACAACUCAUAUGGAAUUGAUUGUGUUUUUUGAUGGGGUACUCUAUUGAGUAUUUUAUUAGCUGUAAGGAUGACUUCCCCCCAAAGAUUUCGUGGUGAACAAGAAUUGAUCAUUAAGGCAUUCAUCAUUUCCUUUAAUGUUCUGUUCUUCCGUUCUGCCAAACCAUUUGACUGUGGUGUAUAAGGUGCAGUAGUUUGAUGAAUAAUACCAUAUUCCAAACAUAUCUCUGCAAAAGGAGAUUCAUAUUCUCCACCCCUAUCACUCCGAAUCAUUUUUAUCUUUAGAUUCAAUUGGUUUUCCACUUCAUUUUAGUAUUGCUUAAAUGCAUCAAUUGUUUCAUACUUACUAUUAAGCAAAUAUACAUAACAAAAUCGAGUGCAGUCAUCAACAAAAGAUAUAAAAUACUUUUCCCACCACGAGAUAGUGUUGACUUCAUAUCGCAUAUAUCUGUGUGAAUUAAGUCUAAAGUUUUAGAACUUCUUUCAACAAACUUGUAAAAACUUACUUUCCACGCAAAUUUCAGAUUUUGACUUAUCGCAUUUAAAAUCAGGCAAUACUUCUAGAUUAACCAAUUUUCGCAAGGCUUUGUAAUUUACAUGUCCCAAACGGGCAUCCCAUAAAUCACUUAACUCCAAUAAGUAAACAGAAGCAGAAUUUUUAUUAAUACUGUCAAUAACCAUUACACUUAGUUUGAAAAGACCCUCAUUGAGGUAGCCCUUUCCUAUGAACAUUUCAUUCUUACUUAUUACAGCUUUAUGACUAACUAGGACACACUUAAACCUGUUCUUAACGAGUAGUGCAACAGAAACUAAAUUCUUCCUAAUAGUAGGGACAUCCAGAACAUUGUUUAAAGUCAACACUUUGCCGGAUGUCAUUUUCAACAUUACUUUUCCAGUUCCUGCAAUCCUUGCUGUUGCGUGUUUCCCAUGAAUAAAUCUUCAUCGUACUCAGCAGGAGUGUACGUUGCAAGGCUUCUUUUGCAGAGCAAAUAUGUCUAGUAGCACCCGAGUCGAGAAACCACUCCUUGGGAUUUCCAACUAAGUUACACUCUGAUAUCAUUGCACACAAGUCAUCUGCAUCUUCUAUUUUUUCCAUGAUGUUUGCUUGACUUUUGCCUUUGCCUUUGUAUUUAUCCUUUCUUGGAGCAUGACAAUCAGAAGAUCUAUGACCAGCCUUGCCACAAUUAUAACAGUUGCCUUUGAAUUUCUUCUUGGCCUGUUCUGACUUCUGCCCGUUGGACUUCUUUCUCUUUUUGUCUUUGGUAGGAGCUUCUUCAACAAUAUUAACUCCAAUGAUUGUUGAACUCUUACACGACUUCUUUUCGGCAUUUCUGUUAUCUUCCUCAAUCUUGAGACGAAUCACAAGAUCUUCAAGCUUCAUUUCUUUACGCUUAUGCUUUAGAUAAUUCUUGAAAUCAUUCCACGAAGGAGGCAACUUCUCGAUCAUUGUAGCCACUUGAAAAGCUUCAUUUACUACCAUAUCUUCAUCAAUCAGAUCAUGGAGAAUAAGUUGAAGUUCCUGCACUUGUGAUCCAACAGUUUUACUAUCUACCAUUUUAUAGUCUAAAAACUUUGCGACCACAAAUUUUUUCAAGCAUGCAUCUUCUGUCUUAUAUUUCUUCUCAAGUGCAUUCCACAACUCUUUUGAAGUUGUUAUUGCACUAUAGACAUUAUAUAAGUCAUCCUAUAAAGCACUCAAAAUGUAACCUUUACAUAGGAAGUCUGACUGUUUCCAUGCUUCAACAAUCAUAAAUUUUUCCCUGUCUGGCAUAUCAUCAGCAGGUACUGGAGUAUCUUCACUUGUAAAUUUCUGCAGACCAAGAGUGGUAAGCCAGAAAAAUACUCAUUGCUGCCAUCCUUUGAAAUUCACACCUGUGAAUUUACCCGGUUUCUCUGCUUGUGACACAAGAGUUCGGGUUGGUGCAGCAAAAGCCACUGUAACACCAGUGUUUUCCAUUUCUGAUAAACAAAAUAUAUACAAUAUAAGUAAGCAAUAAAUUAUAAUUGCAGACUUAAAGGAGUAUAAAUCACAAAGAUUUUUGUCUCCACCAGAAACACAGAUUUAUAUAAUUUCCUUAAGAUUGUUGCCAAUCUGUGUUAAGAAAAUCAGAAAUUACUGGUUGUAAUAAAUCAUUCAGAAACACGAAGUAACUGAGAUUUUUAGAACCAGUAAAUAAGAUGAACAUAACUUUAUUUGUAAAAAAUAAUUUAAUCUGUAAAACUUACCAGAAUCUGGAAUACUCUUUCAGAAAAUUUAGGAAGAAAAUCAAGUCCACUGAAUUCACAGUGUCCCCUUAAGGAAAUUAUUUCCCUCUAGUAUCCGAGGUUUGAUUUGGAAUAUAACCUCCCAGGGUAAAAUGAUCUUAAUCAGUAGAGUAUAGAUACCAAAAACUCUACUGUCAGCGAAUCAAUCCACAGCAGGAAAGUACACGAAGAAAUAUGUGUUUUUAAGAAGAAGGAAGAUCAGAAAAUUCGUUAGUCAAUAUUCUGAAGACUGAAUGGUAUUUGUAGGCAAGAAUAAUAUAUUCUGAAAUGUUGCAACCCUUUCAGAAUUGACACGACCAUUAAUGAAAGGUUGCAAACUUUCAAAUGGUAUUGACUGUUCCUGAAAGUUGCAACCUUUCAGAACAGUGGCGGGAAUUUUUAAAUAUAACGGAAUUUAAAACGGGUCACGCUCGCAGAUCCGAGUCGGGUUGGGUUAACUAAAAAGUUGAAAAUAUUUCGGUUAAUUUCUUUUAUCAACUAAUUAAUUGAAAAUAAUUUUUGGCCAUUUAAUUAAUUAAAUAAAUAAUUAAAAUAAAUUUGUCCAAAAAAUUAUCUCUCGAUCAUUUGGCAAAUCCAAAUUCGAAGCGAGCGAGCGACGACGACGGCGCAAGGGGGAUCCCUCUUUCCAACCCUUUUAACAAUUAAUAGGAGUGUUUAUUUAUUUAAACUCUCCUAUUUUCAUUUCCAUUACCGAUGAGGGACUAUUGCCUUUUUUCUUAAAGCAUUAGAGGACUUUUCAAGUUCCCAACCUUUCAAGUUCUAAACUUUUCAAAUUCCUCUCCUUCCCUCUAUUUCCCAUCAAUUCUUGCUACAUACCCAACAAUUAGUUGAGAUCGAUCGUUGCAAUCGUUGGUUUUCAACUUAGAAGCUUAGUCCUAGUAUACAUGAGUCAUCAAUUUGUGUCGAUUAUGACGGUGUACUUUUCAAUAAGACAGUUAUCAGCUCAAGUUGAUAACGUCUGUAUCGUUUGUACACAAAAUAAAAUGGAGUCUAGUUCAAGAUGGUUAGUAAUAGGUCAAUGUUUGAGCCUAUUUUACUCUCUAUUGUACCUACUUGUGGAAAACUGCUGAAAGAAAUAAUAUAAAGCAAUAUUUAUGGCAAAAGAGUAAGCUUUAAAUUUCAAACCUCAAGAACUUGUUGCCCAUGAUAUUCCAUGGUCAAUAUUAGAAAUGAAUGAACCACAUAUUAGAUUACUUCAACCGUGUUCAAAUUUGAAUAAGUCAACAAAUGGUUUUUGAAACAUUAUUAGGUAGGCCAAUAUCUCUUCAGUCUUGCUUAUCUGUACUUUGGUGAGAUAUUUUUUAAUUCUCACAAUUCUAUUCUUAGAAUCUGAAUCUUUCGUUGUAACACCUCACAAUUCUAUUUUUACAAUGUAAAUCUUCCGUUGUAAGUAUAUAACCUCGCACAGGUCUGCAUUAGUUCAUUGAGUGGACCAGGUUAGCUUUGUUGUAAUGUCAUUAGUAAUAUUUAUUGCAUAUGUUAUCUAUUUAUGAAGUUGUGCUUACCUAUUCACAUUCCAUAUAUAUGGAGUUGGAUGAUGAUUUUAUCAGUACAUCGUGAAUUUUGUAUACUUAUACUGCAUUUGUUUUUUCUUUGUUAACUACAUGGCAUAUUUUGAUGGGUCCAUGGCGACCUCAAUUAUGAGUCCAACAUUUCUUGAAUCCAAGGGUGAGUUAAUUUUUUCGAGAUGCUAUGUGUUCAUCUUUUCCCUGUGGUCUAUUUUUUGGAUUUAGAUUGAUUUCUUUUUUGGGAUUGCAUCCCAUAUUCUAGAUUUCAUAGAUAUUUAGGUACGCGAGUUUCGGGUUGUUGAGAGAGUGGGGGUUUCUGGAUGGUGGUUGAUACUUAUAAAGACUUGUUUUGCGUAUUGAAAAUGUUUUAAGUGAUCAAUUGCUUGUGAAUUAUUGGUUCUUCCACUGAAGAUUUAAUGUGGGUGCCUCUCAUGACGGGUUGGAUCGUGACACUUUGAAAAUGCAAUCAAUCUGAAUAUAAGAGAAUUUUUAUGGCUCAGCUGCCUGAAUAUUGCUUAUGUGAACGAAUUUCAAAAAUUACAAAUAUGACAUGUGAUUUAACUGUCUCGAAAAACUAUGCUUUUUGAAAAAAAAAGAGCUCUAUUUUAUGUAUUCGAAGGGAAAUGGGUGUUAGAUUUUGUAGACUACUAAAGAAAUUGUGAAGUUAAAGUAGUUGAUAGAGUUGAAGAUGAAGAUGGAGGAAAAAAAGAAUGCUUUAAUCAAGAAGAAGCUUUUGAGGAAGACAAUAAAAUAAAGAGAGAAAAAAAUUAAAUUUCUGUGGGCCAAUAAGAAAAUUCAUAUAUCUUAAUAAAAGUCAAUAUACAAAGAAAAUGAUAUUUAAAAUAUUAAUCAUAUAUUGACCUAUAAAAAAUGACAUGUGUAUUAUUUUAUUACAAAAAAUCUUUUUUAAAUUUUUCACACGCUAUUAGCUGAGUGAACUCAUUUUCUUUGACAUGUCAUCUCUUAUGAUUGCAUUUAAUUCAAUUUAAAGAUGUUAAAAGAAUAUUUAAACGUCUAAUUGUUUAAGUACUAAAAUAAAUUAUCCGACCAACAAUUUUUUAAAAUGUAUUUUCUCAUUAAAUAACGACACUAGUUCUAGAAUGGGUUCUCCUCCCCCGAUUUCCCGACAAAAACAUGUUAAAAAUCCCACUUCACAAGUUAUUACUCCCUUCAAUGAUUGUUGUAAUUUUUUUAUAAGAAUAUUUGGUAUAAUAUUAAUUGAAUUAAAUUUUAUGAGUAACAACUAUUUAAUUAUUAAAUAAAAACUAAAGUACUUUAUAGAUUUUUAGGACAUGGCCAGCUGCAUGUUUUCUGUUAGUAUCACAUGAUUGAUACAAGAACAUUACAAUAAUAACGUCAACUUACCUAACAUAUCAAUCAAUCAUCAAUCUAUAAAAACAACUAAAAAAAUGAUCAUGCCUCUGACAUCAAUAUCUGUUAUAUAUUAUAGUCAUGUUAUAUAUCCUACAAAUUAUAUCAGUAUCUAACCUAACUUUAUUUGGCACCUCCCCUUUCAAUAAAAGCUAUAAGUAUUCUCUCCACUUAUAGUGCACUUAUUUGUUACUACAAGGUACUUCUUUAUCUUAAUUCUUCUUAGUUUGUUUUUUUAGAAGAAUGACUAAAAAUUUCAAUUUUCAUAUCACGUGUAUUAAGAUUAUAAAAUUAAAUAUCAUUUUGAUAUAUUAUACAUAUCUUUAAUAUGAUAUCAUAAAAUUUAACUCUUUAAAUUCAGAUAUUAUUAAAUAAAUUUGAACAAAAGAAGUAAUUAUUUUUUAGAUAGUAUAUGUUAUACAUUUAUAAAAGCAUGGAAGCCCUCUAAAUCUAAAGACACAUAAAAAUAUUUUUUUUUUCUUCUUUUUUCCUAAACAGAUAUAUGUGUACGUGUAUAACCCCACCAGCAUGUUUCUUGUUAGUGGAUGGAAAUGGAAAUAAUUUUUGGUCUACACAAAUGCUGAGUCAAAUACACAUAUUAUACAUAAUGUAUUUUAUUAACUAUAUAUAUGCAUAUUGUCUCUUAGUGAAUGAAAUGUCUCAUUACCUUAUCGAAUCAUUCAAGAGGAACAAUCAUUAUGAUUAAUAUAGUGUAAUAUGUGAUGGAUAUCAUGUAAAUAUAAAUUAAAAAAUAAAAAAGCGACAGUACCUAUACUAUAUGUUAGGAUUAGCAAAAUAUUGUAGGAAUGGUGAUGAACACUAGGCCCAGGUCGUACUCAUGAAAAUCAGGCCUAGGUCGUAGUCCCUAAAAUCAAGUCUCAUCUAAAGAAUGAAGAGGAACAGGUCGCAGGAGUUGUUUCUAAAGUCAAAGUCGAUCCAAUGUUCAAGACCCAUCAUUCAGAUCAACGUUCUCAAUCAAGAAAGCCCACACACUCGUGUCUCAUUACAUUUCAUCAUAUUUUUGUACAUAGCAUAAGAUUAUUCUCUUAGAUGCUUCUUCUAGAAAUUGUAUGGGUGCACAAAGUUUGUUAGGAGUUUAUUAACCUCUUAGAUUAUUUUACGUUUCUGCCAUUUUAUAUUAGGAUAAAUAGCUACUUUUUGUUCAAUAAAAUUCACUCAAAAAAUUUCCUCACAUUUUUGUCUUUCACAGUUUCUUCUAAUUUUCCCACAAAUAUUAGUGACAGAACCUAUUCAAUGAGGAAUUUAGUAAAAUAUAUAUGUAACUUUGUUGCUUUUCAUAUUUAUUUAAUCUAAGAAAAACUAGUGGUUAGGAGAAUGAUUGAGGCAUAAAUCACUUUUAAAGUUCUAAUUAAUUAAUUAGCAUUUUUUCCAACUUGGAGCAAAAGUGCAAUGGUGAAAACGAAAUAGAGGACCAUCUAUCCCAAACAGUACGGUGAAGUGAUAGGAUUGCUCCUUUGUACUAGAGAUUUUGUGUUCGAGUUCUGGUGUGAAAAUAUUUUUGGUAGAAAGAAUUUUCUCCUAAAUGAAACUCUACAUGGCACAAAUUCAAAUUAAUUAGAUUUCAUUGUGAAUAUUAGAUGAAAAAAAAUUCAUCUUACUUAUUAAUGUCAACAGUCGGCGGACUACGCUUUACACUGAUGUGUACUUAUUACUUUAUUUUGCUAAUUGUAUAUUUUGAAGUGAAAUGAUAUUUUUGUGGUCGAUUACAAUUUAAAUAAAAGACAAUAACUUUUUUAAGUUCGUGUGUUAUUUAUAAAAGUAAAAAUAUCUAGUACAAUAUAUGAAACAACAUAAGAAAUUUAUAAAUAACUACAAAUUUGAAUGUAUGUAUAACUACAAAUUCCUUUCGGAGACAUGCGGGUGAAACAACGUUCUUCUUCUCAUGAUGUUUGGGCGUAACAAGAGGCCGCUUCAAGUAUUUGGCCACUACAAUUAAUUUGGAAACUAAAAUGUGUCUAUGUUUGUGUGUUUAAAAAUAUAUGAAUUUGUAUUUCUAGAAUAAAAGUGGGAACAUGUAUGUACUGUGAUUUCCACAAGAUCGAACAAGAAUAGUGUCAGGUCAUGAACACUAUAUAUGUACUAGUUUGUUUGUUUUCUAUUUCAAUGUGAUG
rnacentral:lncRNA from 1 species